rnacentral:tRNA from 1 species
UGGCUCAGAGGUUAAGAGCACUGAACACUCUUCCAGAGGACCUGGGUUCAAUUCCCAG